UACGGAGGGGGCUAGCGUUGUUCGGAAUUACUGGGCGUAAAGCGCGCGUAGGCGGCUUUGUAAGUUAGAGGUGAAAGCCCGGAGCUUAACUCCGGAACUGCCUUUAAGACUGCAUCGCUAGAAUCGUGGAGAGGUGAGUGGAAUUCCGAGUGUAGAGGUGAAAUUCGUAGAUAUCUGGAGGAACACCGGUGGCGAAGGCGGCAUCCUGGACCGGUAUUGACGCUGAGGCGCGAAAGCUAGGGGAGCAAACGGG
rnacentral:rRNA from 1 species